rnacentral:rRNA from 1 species
CUAUGAUGAUACUCAUUUACGUCAGGUCAAAGUGCAGCUUAUAGAGAGGUGAUGAUGGGUUACACCCUAAACAAAGACACGAAAUAUAACACUAAAAGUUAUAUGAAGGUGGACUUGGACGUAUCGUUAAUUCAAAAUUACCGCGAAAACGAAUCUAAGACAUGCACACAUCGCCCGUCACUCUCGCCCAAAGGCGAGAUAAGUCGUAACAAAGUAGGUGUAACGGAAGUUGUACCUGU